rnacentral:rRNA from 1 species
AGAAACCAACAGGGAUUGCCUCAGUAACGGCGAGUGAAGCGGCAACAGCUCAAAUUUGAAAUCUGGCCCCCUCGGGGCCCGAGUUGUAAUUUGUAGAGGAUGUUUCGGGUGUGGCUCCGGUCUAAGUUCCUUGGAACAGGACGUCAUAGAGGGUGAGAAUCCCGUAUGUGACUGGCAGCCUACGCCCAUGUGAAACUCCUUCGACGAGUCGAGUUGUUUGGGAAUGCAGCUCAAAAUGGGUGGUAAAUUUCAUCUAAAGCUAAAUAUUGGCCAGAGACCGAUAGCGCACAAGUAGAGUGAUCGAAAGAUGAAAAGCACUUUGGAAAGAGAGUUAAACAGUACGUGAAAUUGUUGAAAGGGAAGCGCUUGCAACCAGACUUGCGUGCGGCCGAUCAUCCGGUGUUCUCACCGGUGCACUCGGUCGUGCUCAGGCCAGCAUCGGUUUCGGCGGCUGGAUAAAGGCCAUGGGAAUGUAGCUCCUCUCGGGGAGUGUUAUAGCCCGUGGUGCAAUGCAGCCCGCUGGGACCGAGGACCGCGCUUCGGCUAGGAUGCUGGCGUAAUGGUUGUAAGCGACCCGUCUUGAAACACGGACCAAGGAGUCUAACAUCUAUGCGAGUGUUUGGGUGUCAAACCCAUACGCGGAAUGAAAGUGAACGGAGGUGAGAACCCUUAAGGGUGCAUCAUCGACCGAUCCUGAUGUCUUCGGAUGGAUUUGAGUAAGAGCAUAGCUGUUGGGACCCGAAAGAUGGUGAACUAUGCCUGAAUAGGGUGAAGCCAGAGGAAACUCUGGUGGAGGCUCGCAGCGGUUCUGACGUGCAAAUCGAUCGUCAAAUUUGGGUAUAGGGGCGAAAGACUAAUCGAAC